rnacentral:rRNA from 1 species
GACGAACGCUGGCGGCGUGCCUAAUACAUGCAAGUAGAACGCACAGUUUAUACCGUAGCUUGCUACACCAUAAACUGUGAGUUGCGAACGGGUGAGUAACGCGUAGGUAACCUGCCUGGUAGCGGGGGAUAACUAUUGGAAACGAUAGCUAAUACCGCAUAAUAUUGAUUAUUGCAUGAUAAUUGAUUGAAAGAUGCUAUUGCAUCACUACAAGAUGGACCUGCUUUGUAUUAGCUAGUAGGUGAGGUAACGGCUCACCUAGGCGACGAUACAUAGCCGACCUGAGGGGGUGAUCGGCCACACUGGGACUGAGACACGGCCCAGACCCCUACGGGAGGCAGCAGGAGGGAAUCUUCGGCAAUGGACGAAAGUCUGACCGAGCAACGCCGCGGGAGUGAAGAAGGUUUUCGGAUCGUAAAGCUCUGUUGUAAGAGAAGAACGGGUGUGAGAGUGGAAAGUUCACACUGUGACGGUAUCUUACCAGAAAGGGACGGCUAACUACGUG